rnacentral:snRNA from 1 species
GUGUUUGCUUCAGCAGCACGUAUACUAAAAUUGGAACCAUACAGAGAAGAUUAGCAUGGCCUCUGCGCAAAGAUGACAUGCAAAUUUGUGAAGCAUUCCAUAUUAAA